rnacentral:rRNA from 1 species
AAACUUUACCAUGCGGGCAACCGUGAUAAGGAAACCCCGAGUGCCAGCACAGGCUGGCUGUCCGCCAGUGUAAAUAACUGGUGAAGAAAGGGCCGGGCAAGACCGGUGCCAGCCGCCGCGGUAAUACCGGCGGCUCGAGUGGUGGCCACUAUUACUGGGCUUAAAGGGUCCGUAGCUUGAUAUGCAAGUCUCUUGAGAAAUCCGCCAGCUUAACUGGUGGGCGUUCAGGGGAAACUGCAUUUCUAGGGACCGGGAGAGGUGAGAGGUACUGCCGGGGUAGGAGUGAAAUCCUGUAAUCCCGGUGGGACCACCUAUGGCGAAGGCAUCUCACCAGAACGGGUCCGACAGUGAGGGACGAAAGCUGGGGGAGCAAACCGGAUUAGAUACCCGGGUAGUCCCAGCUGUAAACGAUGCGCGUUAGGUGUGUCAGUGACCACGUGUCACUGAGGUGCCGAAGGGAAACCGUGAAACGCGCCGCCUGGGGAGUACGGUCGCAAGGCUGAAACUUAA